GAUGAACGCUGGCGGCGUGCCUAAUACAUGCAAGUCGAGCGAACGGACGAGAAGCUUGCUUCUCUGAUGUUAGCGGCGGACGGGUGGGUAACACGUGGAUAACCUACCUAUAAGACUGGGAUAACUUCGGGAAACCGGAGCUAAUACCGGAUAAUAUUUUGAACCGCAUGGUUCAAAGGUGAAAGACGGUCUUGCUGUCACUUAUCGAUGGAUCCGCGCUGCAUUAGCUGGUUGGUAAGGUAACGGCUUACCAAGGCAACGAUGCAUAGCCGACCUGAGAGGGGGAUCGCCCGCACGGGAGCGUAGACACGGUCCAUACUCCUACGGGAGGCAGCAGUAGGGAAUCUUCCGCAAUGGGCGAGAGCCUUACGGAGCAACGCCGCGUGUGUGAUGAAGGUCUUCGGAUCGUAAAACUCUGUUAUUAGGGAAGAACAGAUGUGUAAGUAACUGUGCACAUCGUGACGGUACCUAAUCAGAAAGCCACGGCUAACUACGUG
rnacentral:rRNA from 1 species